CUCACAUUAUACUGCUCAGAAUACACUGCCCACCCCACUUACAUGUAAAUAUUGUGGGGGGGGGGGGCCUUUCUGUACUAUAUUGAUGCUAAAAUGUUUAUUCUAGUUAUGUUGGUAUACUAAUCUUUUAUUGUUGCAUUGUCCAGAAGGAACCUGUAGCGUUUCGUUGUACACCAUGCGUAUCCCAUACAUACAACUAAAUUUGAAACCACAUACGUCUUUCUGCCCAAGGCCAUAGGCCUUUAUUGUGUUUAUUUUUGCAGGGACAGUGUACAUUAGUCAACAUUUUCAGAAAAAGUGCCGGUUAUAGGCAACAGGCUAAUUUUCGACCUUAGUCCUUCAGUCUAUCAAUCCCCCAUCUGCAAAACAUUAACCAAACAGGUGUAGCAUUCAGUGGGCUUUAACCGACGAAAGCAAUAGUGUAACUACAUGUUGAGUGUCUGACAUGGAGGUGUUACCCGAGUACAUGUUGAGUAUCUGACAUGGUGUUACCUGAGUACAUGUUGAGGGGGUACCUGAAUGGUGUUACCCAAGGACAUGUUGAAUAUCUGACAUGGUGUUACCUGAGUACAUGGUGUUACCUGAGUACAUGUUAGUAUCUGACAUGGGUUACCCAAGGACAUGUUGAAUAUCUGACAUGGUGUACCUGAGUACAUGUUGAGUAUCUGACUGGUGUACCUGAGUACAUGUUGAGUAUCUGACAUGGUGUUACCCAAGGACAUGUUGAAUAUCUGACAUGGUGUUACCUGAUACAUGUUGAGUAUCUGACAUGGUUUUACCUGAGUACAUGUUGAGUAUA
rnacentral:lncRNA from 1 species